CGGUCGCCUCACCGCGUGUACUGGUCCGGCCGGGCCUUUCCUUCUGGAGAGCCCCAUGCCCUUCACUGGGUGUGCGGGGGAACCAGGACUUUUACUUUGAAAAAAUUAGAGUGUUCAAAGCAGGCCUUUGCUCGAAUACGUUAGCAUGGAAUAAUAGAAUAGGACGUGCGAUCCUAUUUUGUUGGUUUCUAGGACCGCCGUAAUGAUUAAUAGGGACAGUCGGGGGCAUCAGUAUUCAAUUGUCAGAGGUGAAAUUCUUGGAUUUAUUGAAGACUAACUACUGCGAAAGCAUUUGCCAAGGAUGUUUUCAUUAAUCAGUGAACGAAAGUUAGGGGAUCGAAGACGAUCAGAUACCGUCGUAGUCUUAACCGUAAACUAUGCCGACUAGGGAUCGGGCGAUGUUUUUAUCUUGACUCGCUCGGCACCUUACGAGAAAUCAAAGUUUUUGGGUUCUGGGGGGAGUAUGGUCGCAAGGCUGAAACUUAAAGAAAUUGACGGAAGGGCACCA
rnacentral:rRNA from 1 species